rnacentral:rRNA from 1 species
GUUCCACGCUGUCGGUUCGCCGCCCGUCGGUGUCAACUGGCAUGUCCUGUGGAACGUCCUGCCGGUGGCGGACCGGGCUUUCGGCUUGCGUAAGGGCUUACGCUCGAAGCAGGCCGAACAGUACCGGCCGCCGGUCCAAUCCCGCCACGGUGCUCUUCACCGAGUGUCGAGGUGGGCCGGCACGUUUACUUUGAACAAAUUAGAGUGCUUAAAGCAGGCUGGUGUCCGCCUGAAUACUGUGUGCAUGGAAUAAUAGAAUAGGACCUCGGUUCUAUUUUGUUGGUUUUCGGAACCCGAGGUAAUGAUUAAUAGGGACAGGCGGGGGCAUUCGUAUUGCGACGUUAGAGGUGAAAUUCUUGGAUCGUCGCAAGACGAACCUAAGCGAAAGCAUUUGCCAAGUAUGUUCUCGUUAAUCAAGAACGAAAGUUAGAGGUUCGAAGGCGAUCAGAUACCGCCCUAGUUCUAACCAUAAACGAUGCCAGCCAGCGAUCCGCCGAAGUUCCUCCGAUGACUCGGCGGGCAGCUUCCGGGAAACCAAAGCUUUUGGGUUCCGGGGGAAGUAUGGUUGCAAAGCUGAAACUUAAAGGAAUUGACGGAAGGGCACCACCAGGAGUGGAGCCUGCGGCUUAAUUUGACUCAACACGGGAAACCUCACCAGGCCCGGACACCGGAAGGAUUGACAGAUUGAGAGCUCUUUCUUGAUUCGGUGGGUGGUGGUGCAUGGCCGUUCUUAG